CCUGGUAACUCAGAUGGUAAAGAAUCUGCCUGCAAUGCAGGAGACCAGGGUUCGAUCCCUGGGUUAGGA
rnacentral:tRNA from 1 species